ACAGGGAUUGCCUUAGUAACGGCGAGUGAAGCGGCAAUAGCUCAAAUUUGAAAGCUGGCGUCUUCGACGUCCGCGUUGUAAUUUGUAGAGGAUGCUUCGGCGAGGACUCCUGCCUAAGUCCCCUGGAACGGGGCGUCACAGAGGGUGAGAAUCCCGUAUGUGGCGGGCGGUCCAAGCCAUGUGAAGCUCCUUCGACGAGUCGAGUUGUUUGGGAAUGCAGCUCUAAAUGGGAGGUAAAUUUCUUCUAAAGCUAAAUAUUGGCCAGAGACCGAUAGCGCACAAGUAGAGUGAUCGAAAGAUGAAAAGCACUUUGGAAAGAGAGUUAAAAAGUACGUGAAAUUGUUGAAAGGGAAGCGCUUGCAACCAGACUCGCUCGCAGUUGCUCAGCCGGCCUCUUGGCCGGUGUACUCUUCUGCGAUCGGGCCAGCAUCAGUUCGGGCGGCCGGAUAAAGGUGUCGGGAAUGUAGCACCCUUCGGGGUGUGUUAUAGCCCGGCGCGGAAUGCGGCCAGCCUGGACUGAGGAUCUCGCUUCGGCAAGGAUGCUGGCGUAAUGGUUGUAAGCGGCCCGUCUUGAAACACGGACCAAGGAGUCUAACAUCUAUGCGAGUGUUUGGGUGUCAAACCCAUGCGCGUAAUGAAAGUGAACGGAGGUGGGAACCCCUCACGGGGUGCACCAUCGACCGAUCCUGAUGUCUUCGGAUGGAUUUGAGUAAGAGCAUAGCUGUUGGGACCCGAAAGAUGGUGAACUAUGCCUGAAUAGGGUGAAGCCAGAGGAAACUCUGGUGGAGGCUCGCAGCGGUUCUGACGUGCAAAUCGAUCGUCAAAUUUGGGUAUAGGGGCGAAAGACUAAUCGA
rnacentral:rRNA from 1 species